rnacentral:lncRNA from 1 species
CUUUACACUAACUCUAGUGUUCUUUACAUUACUUUAUGUUGCUACUCUAACAAUCAUUAUUCUUUACCUUUCUUUUACUUUUGCUAAUUCUAGCAAUCAUGUUCUUUACAUUUCUUUACUUUUGGCUAUCUUUAGCAUUCAUGUUCUUUACGCCCCACUUUGUUUUCACUUUAGUCAUUAUCAUUAUUCUUUACAUCACAUUGAUUCUUUGCCUCACACUAACUCUAGUGUCACUUUACUUUACAUUAUCAAAUGCCACUCGAUCUAUGUCUCAUGGUGUCACUCUGUUCUUUCGCCUC